GCCCUGUGUGCCAUUUCCCAUGCGCAACCUCUACGCCAGCGUGUGCACGUGUGCACAGCCACACACAGCAGCAGAUAGAUACAGUAGAUUUCAUGAAGCUGGAAGCCAUGAAGGAAGCCUGACCAAAGAUUGUGGCAGCGCAGGAAGGAAGUGGAGCACACCCCUGGAUAUGAACAGGAAGCAGCCAGGAAAGAGGACUCUGACAGGACACACACACUCAGAGAGUUAUGGCUCCAGCUUGAACACUGACCAAGGUACAAAAUGGGCCGUGUCCAAAGCAACUGCGUGGGCCAUCUGCCAAAGAAACUACUCCUAAUCCAACCUUUCUUACUCCCACACUUCGAUGUCUAUUCAGCACUUCAAAAUCUGCACUGUUUGUAUUUUAGUUUUGUAUCUCAGUCAUCAAAGUAACUUUUCCCUUCCACACAUAGACUAUGGACACUCAUAAGGAUGAAUCUGCAACUAUGAAACAAAUUUACAUAAAGGCUGAGCAGGAAUAGGUCACACUGCUCAGUGCUUCUGCUGGGCAGCUCUACUAUUUGUUUUGUUUCUGAUCCUUCUCUCUUCCUUUUUCCAUGUUCCUUGGCUCCAUCAGAUUAGUAUCCAGUUUGUUUUUAUGACUCAGGAUGCUGCACCAUGCUUGUGUAUGUUUUACUACCCCAAAUGUGUGUGUGUGUGUGUGUGUGUGUGUGUGUGUGUGUGUGUGUGUGUGUGUGUGUGUGUGUGUGUGUGUGUGUGUGUGUGUGUGUGUGUGUGUGUGUGUGUGUGUGUCAAGAGGAAACAUAAACUGGAGGACGUAUCGGUCGAGGCCAGAGCAGAGUGUCACACAGGAGUGUCAGAGUGCAGGUUACAUAAUACUGAGGGGCAUUAAGGAGAGGCAGGAGGGGGUCACAUGACCCUCACAGGGUUUCACUUUAGGUCAUUUACUCUGGUAAUACAGCUUAUGGUGUCUCCUGCGAGUAUUUAGGUUUCCAAGACACCCUAUCCGCUCGCUGUAAUGUGUGCUAAACAAAUAAAGUUGCCUGUUACCACUGUGCCAUAGGUUAACUCUCUAGUGCCUGGAAAGAAUGUUUUAAAAUAAAUAAAGUAAAAUCAAAGUUCUUUUUUUUAAUCCAAGCAAAGAUCAGAAAUAUACGUUUUUAAGUAAGUUAAGUGCACACAAACAGUGGCUUCGAUUUAUUAUAUUAGCAUGUAACUCUUAAGACUUCAAUAAGCUGAAAGGUGUCACUGAUGAGAAAAACAUCACUGGAGUACUAAUUAGAACUAAUGUAGAGGAAGCCCAACAUUUUAAGAGGCACACAAUAGCAGUUUUUUUUUUAACAUAUUUUUUAUGUAAAAGAGUAUUUUUUUGUUCAAUUUCCCACAAGUUCUGCACCAUCUGAGAAUCAUGAUUACUUAUUCCUUAUUAUACUUAUUAUAAAUACCUAUAAUGAACCUGCUCACAAACUUGUGUCUCCAGUUUGACUGCUCUGCAAAUGCACCAGCUGUAGUGUGCUACCAAGAAAACACUUGAAUUAGACUGAGAGACCCGCAUGACAAGAAGGUUUUUUUCUCUUUAGCAGUUUUAGUCAUUUGUCGCUGUAGACUAAAUAAAUAAAAGGUAUACUGGUUGUAUUUCAAUAUCAAGAAGGAAGCACUAGUUUGGUAUUUGUCAGUACCCUCAGAUGUUCAAAGCACUGAAAAUUUUUAUCUCCGCCUUGUGUGAACGACUUUGAGCUUACAACUGCUUUGUGACAACAUGAUGGAAAGCACAGAAAUGCUCUAAACUCGUGCUAUUACAAGGCAGCCAGUCACUUUUACAGUUGCAGUCUUAAUGCUAAAAUUUUGCAAAUAACAGAAACGAUCACAGGACACAUUUUGUAAAAACCAAGUUCCCCCCUGAGGUAUGAUUUACAUCCAACUACAGUCGGUGCCUUCUAAAUAAUUUAUGAUACCAUAAAAUCUAAAAUAAUCGAAGCCUGUCUGUUUUGUUUCUUCUACAUAAAAUGCCUCGAAGGAAUUUAAGCUACUACAAAAAAGCUGGAACUUUCUUUGGAUUAGCGGAUUAAUAUGUUGGCAUACAAACUGCAAGCCUGUGUUGAAAAAAUGUCUGCCAAGAUGAUGCUGUUAUACAACAUGCAACAGGAGAACAACCUUAACCCUGCU
ensembl:lncRNA